rnacentral:lncRNA from 1 species
UGGAUUUGGGUUUAUAUGAGGUCAGAAGCCCUUUGGAGCACAUAGGGCUUCUCAGAUAGCUGCAGAAGUACAGAAAAUGCAGAGCAUGGCGAAGCUGAGCUGUAAUUCAGAAGCCAGGUUCAAGAAAGUGCCAGCAUAGAAUCUCUGAAAACCACUAGAAGCUCCUGGGAAGAAAAUUUCGCAGCUGAGAGUCAGGCCUUCAAAAGGGCUGUUUCCCUAGAAAUUUCAAUGGGUGCAGAAAACCACUGUCACUGAUCACUCGGUGUCAGAGUGAACCAAAGGAGUUUUGCUUUCAAAAUGGAAAAGCCUUUGAAAAUGCCUUCUUCAAGCUAUGGUUUCCUUCUUAUGCCCGCAUGAGGAUGAUUCUUGAAAAGGAUGCAGCAGUUAAAGUGUAGGACAAACUCUUUCCUCAAGAAUGGAGUCAAUG